CGACGUUCGUUCCUCUGAAAAAUCACGGGGAAAAGGACCAGGAAGAAUUGCGCGUGAGGUAUAAAGAUAUGUCCAACAUCUUUAUUAAUAACGUCGGUCGUCGGCUCGGACAGCAACGACGGGAUUACACGGUAACAGUGUGUCGCUGUUCCAUUCACUCCUCGUUCCGUUUAAACACGUGCAUAUUCAUAUUGUCCUCGACUUCGUACUGGCUGGCUGCUUCUGGAUGGACGCUGUAUUAUUGUGUACGAUUAAAACUCAUCGAUGCAACAACUAAGGUUUGCUGCAUCUUCCAAAGGUUAUCAUACAAUCAUCGAAGAUCAUUGCAAUCCUAAUGGAAGAUCCGAAGGAUUCAAAUCUCACGUAUACCGACGAUCGGCAACGCAGAUGCACAGGUUACUCGCUGUCGACAAGGUGACGCAGGGCGCGAAAACGAUGGCGCGUCAGGAUCGGACCAUGGGGCGGUCCCCUGAUUGGCCGCCUCGGCUUGUACACAGAGCCGGCACGGUGGGAGGCCGGCGACGUAUCUCGUGCUCGUGGUCAUUCGCAGUUGGCGCGUCGCGGAGUGCGGUAGUGAUGCGCGAGGGCCAGGCGCUUCAUCCACGAGUCGCGUGCCGUGUCCGAUGAGAGUGAUAAAACGCGCGUGCGAUCAAAAUGUGACCGCGUGUCGCCGGACGAUCCACGUCGCGCGCUGGUGAAGACGAUCGACAAAUUGCUCCGUCGUGCUGCGGAGAAUGAACUUGACCCGGUGCACGAGAGUGCCGGUGACCGCGAUACACUUCCGGAGAACAUGAGAGUUUGCUGGACGCGUCAGGUUUGACCAAAGAUGGAGAACCAAGGAUUCGAGGAGGAGCAGCAGCAGCAGCCAGGCAUCCAAUCGCAGUCCUUCCCGAGGAUC